rnacentral:rRNA from 1 species
GACGAACGCUGGCGGCGUGCCUAAUACAUGCAAGUCGAACGAGAGCACCCGGUGCUUGCACUGGUCAAUCUAGUGGCGAACGGGUGAGUAACACGUGGGUAACCUGCCCAUCAGAGGGGGAUAACAUCCGGAAACGGAUGCUAAAACCGCAUAGGUCUUCGAACCGCAUGGUUUGAAGAGGAAAAGAGGCGCAAGCUUCUGCUGAUGGAUGGACCCGCGGUGCAUUAGCUAGUUGGUGAGGUAACGGCUCACCAAGGCCGUGAUGCAUAGCCGACCUGAGAGGGUGAUCGGCCACAUUGGGACUGAGACACGGCCCAAACUCCUACGGGAGGCAGCAGUAGGGAAUCUUCCGCAAUGGACGCAAGUCUGACGGAGCAACGCCGCGUGAGUGAAGAAGGUUUUCGGAUCGUAAAACUCUGUUGUUAGAGAAGAACAAGUGCUAGAGUAACUGUUAGCGCCUUGACGGUAUCCAACCAGAAAGCCACGGCUAACUACGUG